UCCGUCAAGACAAAGAACUCCGCUAUAUGAUGUACUAACACAUAUUUACGAAUGAAAAAAUUCAUACACGAAUGUAUGGUUUAUUGAAAUUAAUAUUAUUAGAAAGAUGACCCAGGCUAUUCUCGGACAAGCGAAGAAGGACAAGAAGAAUGAAAAACCCAAUCGCAACAAUUUUCGUUGCAACUGGUGCUUCAAAUACAAUCGGCCCAGGCUCAUGCGACACCAGACCAAGUGCUAGACCAAGUGCUACAGCGAUUGCCCAGUCUGAGCUUCAGUGACGGAAGAUUUUGCGAAGGAAAACCUCAAACUUGUAAAUAAAACUAUGUUGUAUUCGCCGCGAACAAAGCGGUCCAGGGAAGGAUGUCUGCCAGCGGACAGGAUGUACACCACCUCCGAGGUAUGGUUAUGCGGCGGCCGCAUGCUGCACGUACCAUGCUCUUGAGUGGGCCACAUCGCCCGCGCACAGCCGUACCAUUUCCCACAAGGGAGGAAGGCGACGGAGAACAGGAACUACAAGCGCGCAGUCGAAGUCUGGAUAGACGGGUACCAGGAGUACGUGUAUGAGGCUAACCUGGAUAUAAAGAUCGCGGAAGCCGGCGACCUGACUGAGCACCUGGCGCUGAAGGCGAGGCUGCAGUGCCGUCCCUUCCGAUGGUUCCUAGACAACGUGUGGCCGGAACUGCUCAUCUACAAGGAGUAUAACACUGCGUGGGGAUACGUAGUGAACGUGGCAGACGACCAGCACCGUUGUCUUGACAACAACGGUUACCUGUAUUCCGUUGGCAGAUCCGUGUUAGCCGAAUCAUGUGCACACAAACUACCAUCACCAGAUGAUGCAACGCGUAAAACCGCCACGAAACAGCGAUUUAAACCCAUGCUCUGUUGCCUACUGCAUAUCGGUUGGUUCGCACCGCGUUCAAGUAAUUCCUCACCAGGCAGAACUUGGGGGACAUAGUAAGGACGUGCUCUGGUGAAUGUGUACUAUAGUUUAUAAUAACUCCGUCCGUGUAUUGGGAGAACCAGACCAUGGGAAAUAUUACGGAUGCACCGAGAAUCCGAUACCUUCCGGUAACGUUCGCGCUUACACGUGACAGGCGUUUCCGGUCGCUGCUGCGGUGUAUUGUGAUCAAGGGUUCGAUCUCCGGUGACAAGAUGGCCACCAUGGUCGGGUGCAAUGAAGGCGACAAGGAAACCUGGACACACGACGAGCCUGGAGUAUUAAAACACGAUUUAACGGGUCUCUGCUUAGAGAUAAUUCGAGAAGGCGGUCUGCGCAUGUCCAAAUGUGACGUCACAAGCCAUCGACAAGACUAGGCGUUCCAUGUUUAUAAUUCAGAUGAAAACCAAAAGGAUGUUCCAGGCAACAAACACACACUUUGAUAACCAUGGAAGAUGUUGGAUUCUUCCAGACAGCAAACAUCCUCAAAAGCAGUGGUUUAUUUGAUUUGUUUAUGCAUAAUGGUACACGUAAGGCUGAACUGUCCCAUAUCAGCAAUCCAUUCAAGAACAAUCGAAGAAAACAAACUCUAUUUAGUUAUGAUUUAUAUAAAACAUGUAAUUUAACAUGAUCACAUAAAUAUUGAAAUAUGUUUAUGUUUAAUUGAUUUUUAACAAAACUAAAGCGGUUAAGUACGGUUUGUUUGGUGUUACAAUAAUAAUGUCAUGAGGUGGUUUGUUUGUUUGUUUGGCUACACAAUUAAGAUAUCAUUUUGUAAAAAUGUUUUAAUGCAUUGAUUUCUAAUUAACCAGAGGUAAAAUAAUGAUACCAUAAUGCGCUUUUAUAGCGUACAAUGUUCAGUGACCUGUGAUUCAACUAUGCUAUGGCUUUUAUUUGAAUGGUUAUGCUAUAAAGUUAUUUUUAACCAUGUUUUCCGAAGGAAAAUACUGGUUAUUAGAUUGGCGAAUGUCGGCGGGCGGGCGGGCGGACUGGCGGGUUGGCCGGCGAGCGGAACAAGCUUGUCCGGGCCAUAACUUUGUCGUUCAUUGUGAGAUUGUAAAAUCAUUUGGCACAAUUGUUCACCAUCAUUAGACGGUGUGUCGCGCGUACGAAUUACGUCGAUAUCUCCCAGGUCAAGGUCAUACUGAGUUUAAAGAUCAAAAAUGGCCAUAAAUGAGCUUGUCCAGACCAUAACUAUGUCAUUCAUUGUGAGAUUUUAAAAUCAUCUGGCACAUUUGUUCACCAUCAUGGGACUGUGUGUCGCACGAAAGAAUCACGUGAAUAUCUCCAAGGUCAAUGUCGCCAUGACUAAAAAUACUAAAAAUAGAUUUAUUUUGAAACAAAGGGGGUUAAUUUUGUUUGUUCAGUUCAAAAGUUCAGUUUGAGUUGUCUCCCUUUAUCAGCCUUUUUUUCACAAUGAAAACCUGGUUUUGUGACAAUUUUGUCCCUUGUUUUUUUUUUUUCAAAUUGAAAACCUGGUUUUGUGACAAUUAUGCCCCUUGUUUUUUUAUUGUCUGUGAAUAAUUCUAGACCAAGCUUGAUGUUUGAAGCUCCUUACUACUGGUUGAAACCCUUUAUGUUAUAUGUUUACUUUUUAAUUAUAAAGACUCAAUUUGUACU